CAGCUAUAUGGUAAAUAUGACUCCAGAUUAGCAUAUUACAUCUGCUUGGGAAGUAGUUUAAGUUCCCAGUGGAAAGACUUAACUCUGGGCUUCCCUUAAUGAGAUGAAUCCUAUUACUGAUAUAGCUCUUGGCAGGAGCCCUGGAAACUAUGUUGAUGAAAUUGUAACAAGAGGUACUGACUCCCAAGUACAUUGGGCUUCUAAGAAAGGUGAACCUCAUAUCCACAGCUGGGAUCAUGUCUCUUUUUGACCUCAGCUGGUAUCUCUUGGUAGAUCAAAGAUAGCUAUGUACUACUUUGAGCAAAAAUGUUUAACUCUACCCUGCUUUAGAUUCAUGCCUAAUCUAAAUCCUCCUGUAGACUGGUAUCAGUAUGGCCUAUUUGGGCCUUGUGAGUCUCAAUAAGACAUGAAGAGACAUAAGAAGACUAUAGGGU